rnacentral:lncRNA from 1 species
AUGUAUCCCGAUUUGAAUCUCAAUUUGAUAUCUGUGUUGAAGUCAGGAGAAAUCCAAUUGAUAAUUGAUCGACUACAACAAUUACAAUACUAUAAUAAAUAACAUUACAAGACAUAUCACAGAUACCAAAUGCUACAACAUAUUGAAAUAUUAGAUCUAUCUGUGUCAAUUUUGUACAAAACCAGGAUCUGUUAACAGUAGACAAAAGACUCAGUUACACGCAGUUUUCGAUCUCGGCCGUUAAUAUGUGACCAGAUGGUUCAGAUUUUCCAAUAAAAAAAUCAGUUUAAAAUUAAAACAAUCUCAACUGUUAAUUUGAGAUCGGACAGUUGAGAUCGAAAACUGCGUGACACAAUUACUGCACCAAAUCCAAAUCCCAAAAGAAUAUUUAACCAAGUAAAGCUACCAAACAUUUCACAAUAAGAAUAUUCAACUGCUAAUUGACCACACAUUUGUAGACGGUCUCACAUAAAGCUACCAAGUAAUUAUUUAACCAGCUCCUUAGGUAUCAGGUAUCGAAAAGUGAAGUUGUGUGGAAUCCAUUCUAUGCUCUUCCCGGAUUUUGCAUGACAUUUCUUAACACUCUUUCUCAGGGAUUCAGGUAGAGACUGUUGGAUCAUCUCUAUAAGACCAGCAUGAGACAAACCUGAAUCUUUGGAGAAUGUAUCUACAAUCUUAGGAAGCAGCAUUUUUUGGUCCUUGCGUAUCCCAAACGUGGCUCUAAUGUACUCUUCCUUUGCAACCUCUAGUUCUUGAAACACUCUCUUCGGUGUAUAUACACGCACCUUACCGCUGGAUCAGAGUGGUUUCCUGAACAAAGUGCAAAGUGAAGAAGAGGCUCGGGGUGUUUGAUU